rnacentral:misc_RNA from 1 species
GAUGAAGAACGUAGCGAAAUGCGAUAAGUAAUGUGAAUUGCAGAUUUCAGUGAAUCAUCGAAUCUUUGAACGCACCUUGCGCUCCUUGUAUUCCGAGGAGCAUGCCUGUUUGAGUGUCAUUAAAUUCUCAACUCUCCAACUGUUGUCAUGACUGGUGGUAGAGCUUGGACGUGAGGGUUCUGCCGGCUCCUUGUUGAGUCUGGCUCCCUUGAAAAUGAUUAGCGCAGCUUUGCACUGUCCGCUUCAGGUGUGAUAAUUUAUCUACGCCCGACUAGCGACGCGCAUGAAUGGCUUUGUGCUUCUAACCGUCUCGAAAGAGACAAUACCUUUUGAACUUGACCUCAAAUCAGGUAGGACUACCCGCUGAACUUAAGCAUAUCAAUAAGCGGGGA